CUUCGGUUCAACCAAAACUUUCGCCUAAUUUUCGUUCAUUUCCGUUGGAGCAACAGACUAGAUCGGUGUUCGUCAUUCCUCUGGUUCCAAGACGACGCGGCAAUGCACGUGGGACGCUUUGAUUUUUUGAGGUUAAAAGUGGACGCAAUUAUGAAUCUAAAAUACUCUUUCCAAAUCAAGUGAGAAGGGACUGAAACUAAUGCGAAUGAUGGACCCAAAUCAAUAAAAUCUACAUCAAUCACGAGGUGAACCUGAGGUUAUUGAUGGGAAUUAAUGCAAUUUCUCUGGUCUUCAUGAAGAAAGCAUGUAUCCAGAUGGUGAACUGCACGUUGCGGGACAAUCUCAGAGUGUUCUCUUCGUCAUCAGGAAGUAAUUAAUAUUUAUGCCAAGGAUUCUGUUGAUUUGAUGAGCUCCAGAGAUAUUCAAUUAAUAUUGGCGUAAUUCAACUACCCCUUAGGAGAGACAUCUGAGAGAUCUGAUAAUCUCUUCCGACAACAGAUCGUCAAAAAGGAAUUUCGACAAUUCCAGAGUUAUCAACAAAUUAAACACAGCUGCAAAUCUAUAUGGUGAAAGCUACCAACAAAUAUCAACUUAAUAUACUUGAAGAAUCAAUCAACAAAUGUGAACUAAACUUAUAACGACCUUUGGUAAAUAAAAUUUUUAAUAAUAAAGUCA